rnacentral:sRNA from 1 species
GUUGUUUCGCUUGUUUGUUGUUUCGCCUGUUCGUUUCACCCAUUUGUUCUUUCUUUCCUUUUUUAUGUUCCCUCCACUUUGAUGUUUCCCGCUCAUUUUGCGUACAUUCCGAUGAGCGACUCACCCGUUUAUUGCAUGACCUGUUUGUUUCCCUGCGUCGCGCCUCAGUGCCCACGCGCAGCUGUGUUUUGCUCGGUCGGGCACAUCCAUUUUGUGGAACGCCUGCGGGAAAUUUAGCGUUUCCCCCUUAACCGCCGCAUCGUUACACCGUUACACCGUUGCACCCGCCGUUUGUUGCACUCGUUUAUGCCACAGAGUUACGCAGUCGUAAAAAUAGAGAGACCCACCCACUGAGAGCACCCACCGUGAGAAGCCACCGAGAGCUCCCCCCUGAUAGAACCCCCGCGAGACAGUUUCCUUUUUUUUUUUUUUUUUUUUAACAUUUUUGUUUAUAUCAAAGGAUGUUGUUCUAUUUUUCUUGAAUUUUUUUUUUUUUUUUUUUUUUGGAAAGGUGUAUCAUGGGCAGAGCAACCCCGCUUGUGAGUAUCUACACAGAUAGAUAAACUCAUGUUCACCUUUUAAAAAAGAAAAAAAAAAAAAAAAAAAAGAAAAAAUGAAUGUACAAAUCCCGAACCUGCAUGGGAAGAAAUUCUCACCCUGAACCCAAGAAGUGCCUGAUUGUUUGCUCAUAAGUAACUGGUUAACUGCAAUCAUGAAAGAGGAAGAGGACAGAGAACGAUAGCAUAUGGUUUGGCUCCUCGUCUUUUUGUUUUUUUUUUUUCAUAGCAGUUAAACACGAACAUGAGGUUGUAUAAUGGAUUAGGGCGGAAGUUCCCCCCGAAAGGAAGCGCUCCUAUUUGAAGCCCCUAAUCUUUCUGUGUUUGGAAGGGAAAAAGGAAAAUGCAGAAAAGUGGGAAAAGGGAGAGAAAAGUGGUUGGAGAGGUAACCUAAAAGAAGAAGGAAAAAGUGGAAGAGGGAAUAGAAAGGAAAAAGGAGAAGAAGAAGAAUGAAGGGAUGAAGUAUGAUAUAUUUGUCUUUACUGACUUUCGUUUUUUUUUUUUUUUUUUUUCCUUUCCUUCCUCUUCCCUUUUGUGCUUCUUCUUAUAGGGGAUUUCUCCUUCCUUGCAUCUUUGCCCUUUUCCACGUUUCUGCAUUUUCCCUUUCCAUCCAAAAAGAAACGGAAAGGUCCUUAUACUUCAAUCAGUCUACUCAACAUUGCGCUGUUUUUAUCUCUCAAGUCGGCCAGGAGAUAACCGUUUUGUUUUUUCGUCCCCCUUUUGAUUUGCUUGUUCAGGUAGGUUAUUUUGUUUAUAUGUUUAUUUGUUUAUUUUUUUUUUUUUUCCUCCUCUUAUGCUACACAUAUCAGUUGUGAGUGGACCCUCUUGGUGCCCCCCCUUGCCUGUAAAAGCGCGUAGGGAGGGAACACCAUGCGGUUUCGUUAGCUGUUGCUAUGUGUAGCAUAAGAGGGGAAAAGAAAAAAAAAUAAAUAAACAAACAGAUGAACAGAAUAAUCUACCUGAACAGAUUUUUCAAAAGUGAGACGAGAAAACAAAACCACACGCGGAGAACAAACGCAUAGUGGGAAGUCCAGUACGGUGCGUGUGUGUGCGUAUGUAUCUGUGUAUAUGCUGCUGCGUAUGUGCUGCUGCGUAUGUGCUGCAGUGUAUGGACGGACAACCUUGCCACCUCCCCCGAACGACUGCUCCCGGUGUGCGCUUUGUUCGAAGCAAGAAGGGGAAACCUCCGUCGAAUCGAAUUCGCGCAGUUGCUUUUCCCCUUAACGAUGGCUGGAAUCUAUCUGCAUCCUUUCCCAACGAGAGGUGUAUGGCCAUUUUUUAAAUAGCUGUACCCCUCUCGGGGGGAAGGGAUGUCCCAUUUCAUGGUGCAGUUAACUCUGCGUGAAUACAAUGACAGGUUGUUUCAUUACAGACAUGAAAAGGAUAGAGAAUGACCAAGGAUGUGAUGCAAUUCUACUCGUAGAAUUGUGAUCAAAAUUCGUUUUGCCUUCCAAAUAAAAGAGCAUUUCUAAAAGAAGCAAACUUAUUGUAAACAGCUAGCAAGUUUGACGCACAUGGCAGGGGCACUCCUACGUGUACAUAAAUAUGCACACAGAUAGGAGAGGGGGGAAUAUCCCUAUGCAAGAAGCGACGAUUAAUAAUUUCCAUUCACGCAACGGAGCAUGUGAUUGAAAUUUUAAUUCGCCUCGCUCUUCAUAGGGAUAUUUCUGCAUUCGGGAUUUUGUUACAACUGUACAAUGACCCAUGUGAAGG